AUAUUGGACAAUGGGCGAAAGCCUGAUCCAGCCAUGCCGCGUGUGUGAAGAAGGCCUUCGGGUUGUAAAGCACUUUAAGUUGGGAGGAAAAGCGCUGCGUGAAUAAUGUAGUGCCGUGACGUUACCAACAGAAUAAGCACCGGCAAACUCCGUGCCAGCAGCCGCGGUAAUACGGAGGGUGCGAGCGUUAAUCGGAAUUACUGGGCGUAAAGCGCACGUAGGCGGCGAAGUAAGUGGGAUGUGAAACCCCUGGGCUUAACCUAGGAAUUGCAUACCAGACUGCUUGGCUAGAGUAUAGGAGAGGGAGGUGGAAUUUCCGGUGUAGCGGUGAAAUGCGUAGAGAUCGGAAGGAACAUCAGUGGCGAAGGCGGCCUCCUGGCCUAAUACUGACGCUGAGGUGCGAAAGCGUGGGGAGCAAACAGG
rnacentral:rRNA from 1 species